rnacentral:lncRNA from 1 species
GGUUGGGUUGAGACACAUUCAGGAGCAAGACAUGAGGUUAAUAAUUAUCAAAUAUAUGGCAAUGCUAGACUUUAGUUGAUCAUCGUGCUUCUGGAAAAUAACAAAAGUUGAGAUAUCUGUUCACCAUUUUGUGUGUCCAAGGACCACCUACUUUUUACAUAUGACAAGAACUACCCACCUCCACUCUUCAGGACAGAACAUGCUGGAGAAAAGAGUUACAAUGAGAAAAUAUAUGGGAACAAAAUACCUAUGCAAUGCAGAAGUCUGCAUAACUAAACCACUCAGAGGAAAAAAAUUGCCAUUUCAGGACACCUCCUACAUCUGAAGAAAUAUGUAUUGAUCUUGAAAUAUUUUUCUCCUCCAAAUAAAAGUCAGUAUGAUAACAA